rnacentral:rRNA from 1 species
GGAGGGAUCAUUACCGAGUUAUACAACUCAUCAACCCUGUGAACAUACCUAAAACGUUGCUUCGGCGGGAACAGACGGCCCUGUAACAACGGGCCGCCCCCGCCAGAGGACCCCUAACUCUGUUUUUAUAAUGUUUUUCUGAGUAAACAAGCAAAUAAAUUAAAACUUUCAACAACGGAUCUCUUGGCUCUGGCAUCGAUGAAGAACGCAGCGAAAUGCGAUAAGUAAUGUGAAUUGCAGAAUUCAGUGAAUCAUCGAAUCUUUGAACGCACAUUGCGCCCGCCAGUAUUCUGGCGGGCAUGCCUGUUCGAGCGUCAUUACAACCCUCAGGCCCCCGGGCCUGGCGUUGGGGAUCGGCAGAAGCCCCCUGUGGGCACACGCCGUCCCUCAAAUACAGUGGCGGUCCCGCCGCAGCUUCCAUUGCGUAGUAGCUAACACCUCGCAACUGGAGAGCGGCGCGGCCAUGCCGUAAAACACCCAACUUCUGAAUGUUGACCUCGAAUCAGGUAGG